rnacentral:rRNA from 1 species
AACGAACGCUGGCGGCGUGCCUAACACAUGCAAGUCGAGCGCGAAAAGGGCAACCUGAGUAGAGCGGCGCACGGGUGCGUAACACGUGGGUAAUCUGCCUUAGAGUCGAGGAUAACCUUCCGAAAGGUUGGCUAAUACUCGGUAAGCUUACGGUGUCUUCGGACGCUGUGGGAAAAGUAGGCCUCUGUUUACAAGCUUACGCUCUGAGAUGAGCCCGCGGCCCACCAGCUAGUUGGCGGUGUAACGGACCACCAAGGCAACGACGGGUAGCUGGUCUGAGAGGACGAUCAGCCACACUGGAACUGAGACACGGGCCAGACUCCGACGGGAGGCAGCAGUGGGGAAUUUUCCACAAUGGGCGAAAGCCUGAUGGAGCAACGCCGCGUGUGUGAUGAAGGUUUUCGGAUCGUAAAGCACUUUCGACCGGGACGAAAAACCUCUGGCUAACAUCCAGGGGCCUGACGGUACCGGGAGAAGAAGCACCGGCUAACUCUGUGCCAGCCGCCGCGGUAA